rnacentral:lncRNA from 1 species
AGAAUUUCACUGUUAAAAAGAUUAAAAUCUUAAUUUGAAAUGAGUUUAUUUUAAAUAAACUGCAUUAAGAGAACCAGAAAUUCCUUAGGAAGAUAAAAGUUUAUAAAACUUUUUUUAUUGACAGGAAGUGAGAGAGAGGGAACAUUGAACUCUUUCCAUUUCUCUAGAUUAUAAGCAAUUUUGGGAAAGGAUUUGACAGUAUCAUAUUUACUUCUGUGGCCCAAUUAAUGAGGAAGUUCAACACUAAUUGAAACUCAUUUAGUGAAAUGAACGCAUGCUUCAGCAAUAUUUCAAGGUCAAGGAAAGCCCCAUCUGGCAUGGACCAGGAGGGUUUGACUUGUGCUGGAGCUGAAAGAUCUUUUCAAGGCAACCAAGUCAAGCAAGAUUGGCUGAGAUCUAGAGAAGCCCAGCCAGAUGGCAGUUGAAGAGACAGUGGGAGAUAAAUGCUGUCAAGUUUGAAUCAGAGUAAGCUGGUUGCUGCAUAAUGUCAGAGGAAGUUCAUUGCAUGGGAGAACCCUAUGUAC